rnacentral:rRNA from 1 species
UGGUUGUCGUCAGCUCGUGUCGUGAGAUGUUGGUUAAGUCCCGCAACGAGCGCAACCCCUAUUGUUAGUUGCCAUCAUUCAGUUGGGCACUCUAGCGAGACUGCCGGUAAUAAACCGGAGGAAGGUGGGGAUGACGUCAAAUCAUCAUGCCCCUUAUGACCUGGGCUACACACGUGCUACAAUGGUUGGUACAACGAGUUGCGAGUCGGUGACGGCGAGCUAAUCUCUUAAAGCCAAUCUCAGUUCGGAUUGUAGGCUGCAACUCGCCUACAUGAAGUCGGAAUCGCUAGUAAUCGCGGAUCAGCACGCCGCGGUGAAUACGUUCCCGGGCCUU